CUCAGUUCGGAUCGGAGUCUGNAACCCGACUCCGUGAAGCUGGAUUCGCUAGUAAUCGCGCAUCAGCCAUGGCGCGGUGAAUACGUUCCCGGGCCUUGUACACACCGCCCGUCAAGCCAUGGGAGCCGGGGGUGCUUGAAGUGCGUCGCCGCGAGGCGCGCCCUAGAGCAAAACCGGUGACUGGGGCUAAGUCGUAACAAGGUACC
rnacentral:rRNA from 1 species